GGAUCCAGACUCUUAUUAUGGCUCAGGAUGAACGCUAGCUACAGGCCUAACACAUGCAAGUCGAGGGGAAACGGCAGCUUAGCUUGCUAAGCUGGACGUCGACCGGCGCACGGGUGAGUAACGCGUAUCCAACCUGCCCCACGGUGAGGGAUAACCCGCGGAAACGCGGCCUAAUACCUCAUGGUCUCCGAGUUUGCCAUCAACCUUGGAGUAAAGAUUCAUUGCCGUGGGAUGGGGAUGCGUCUGAUUAGCUUGUUGGCGGGGCAACGGCCCACCAAGGCAACGAUCAGUAGGGGUUCUGAGAGGAAAGCCCCCCACAUUGGAACUGAGACACGGUCCAAACUCCUACGGGAGGCAGCAGUGAGGAAUAUUGGUCAAUGGGCGAGAGCCUGAACCAGCCAAGUAGCGUGCAGGAAGACGGCCCUAUGGGUUGUAAACUGCUUUUAUGCGGGGAUAAAGCGGGCGACGUGUCGCCCUUUGCAGGUACCGCAUGAAUAAGGACCGGCUAAUUCCGUGCCAGCAGCCGCGGUAAUACGGAAGGUCCGGGCGUUAUCCGGAUUUAUUGGGUUUAAAGGGAGCGCAGGCCGGGUAUUAAGCGUGUUGUGAAAUGUAGGCGCCCAACGUCUGCACCGCAGCGCGAACUGGUGCCCUUGAGUACGCACGACGUUGGCGGAAUUCGCCGUGUAGCGGUGAAAUGCUUAGAUAUGGCGAAGAACUCCGAUUGCGAAGGCAGCUGACGGGAGCGCUACUGACGCUCAUGCUCGAAAGCGCGGGUAUCGAACAGGAUUAGAUACCCUGGUAGUCCGCGCGGUAAACGAUGGAUGCCCGCUAUUUGCGCAUUAGCGCAAGUGGCCAAGUGAAAACGUUAAGCAUCCCACCUGGGGAGUACGCCGG
rnacentral:rRNA from 1 species